CCGAGGAUCCAACCUUGCCGUCUCUUCUCCCAAAACAGGCCUCGAAGCGAAGAGAGAGAGAGAGAGAGAUAGACGAAGAAGAGAGAAAGGGCAGAGAGAUCAAGAGAGAGAAAGGGCAGAGAGAGAGAGUUGGUGAAGAAGACUGGAAGGAGAAGCGAGCAAGGCACUGAUGGCGGAGGGGCAGAAACCGCGAAAGCACAGCGAAGAGUGCGUGAAGUUGUUCGUAGGUCAAGUGCCGAAGCACAUGACCGAAUCGCAACUCCUCGCAAUGUUCAAGGAGUUCGCUGUCGUGGACGAAGUCAACAUCAUCAAAGACAAAACCACGCGAACUUCUCGAGGAUGUUGUUUCGUAAUUUGUCCGUCAAGGGAAGAAGCCGACAAGGCGGUGAAUGCGUGUCAUAAUAAGAGAACUCUUCCUGGGGCAUCUACUCCGUUGCAAGUGAAAUAUGCAGAUGGCGAGUUGGAAAGGCUAGAGCAUAAACUUUUCAUUGGCAUGCUUCCAAAGAAUGUUUCUGAUGCUGAUCUUUCUGCACUAUUUUCUGAAUAUGGAACUAUUAGAGACUUGCAAAUUCUGAGAGGUUCUCAGCAAACAAGCAAAGGCUGUGCUUUUCUUAAGUAUGAGACAAAGGAGCAAGCUGUUGCAGCCAUAGAGGCCCUCAAUGGGAAGCAUAAAAUGGAGGGUUCAAGCAUUCCUUUAGUUGUCAAAUGGGCAGAUACAGAGAGAGAAAGACAGGCUCGGAGGGCUCAGAGAGCUCAAUCACAAGCUGCUAAUUCACCAAAUGCCAACUCUGUACAGGAUCCGUCUUUAUUUGGAUCCUUACCAAUGGGCUAUAUUCCCCCCUAUAAUGGAUAUGGUUAUCAGGCUCCUGGAACUUAUGGACUCAUGCAGUAUCGGCUGCCACAGUUGCAGAACCAACCUGCUUUCCGUAAUUUAGUUCCACCUGUAAACCAGGGAGUGCCUGGUAUGGCCCCAAGAAGUUAUGCUCUACCGCCAGUGACUUAUAUGGGCUCUGCUUACCCGGCAGUAGCAGGGCUUCGGUAUCCUGUGCCAUAUCCUGGGGGAAUGAUGAGCAAUAGGCUUGGGAGUGGUUCUCAUGCUUCUAUGCCACCUGAAAAUGUAGGCAGUCAGUCUGCAGCAUCUUCAAGUGCCAGUGGAAGUUCUGGGGGUCAACCUGAAGGUCCACCUGGAGCCAAUUUAUUUAUUUACCACAUUCCUCAAGAGUUCGGUGAUCAAGAACUUGCAAGUGCUUUUCAACCAUUUGGUAGGAUCUUGAGUGCCAAGGUCUUUAUUGACAAAGCAACUGGUGUUAGCAAAUGUUUUGGAUUUGUGAGUUAUGAUUCAUCAACUGCUGCCCAGUCUGCAAUUACCAUGAUGGAUGGCCAUCAGUUAGGUGGUAAAAAGUUGAAGGUUCAGCUUAAAAGGGUCAACAAACAAAACAAACCUUAUUGAUUCAAAGGAUGUUAACACCAAGGCCGUUACAUGAAGAGUGAAGAAGAUCAUCAAUUGUUUGACAUUGGAAUCUUGGUGGAUAUGUUUUCUACACGCCCCCUAAAGUUGAGCUGUAAUUAUUAAGGAAGUCCAGCUUGGAUCCUUAUAUCUUCAAACUGAGUCUUCAGUAGGUAGUCUUCGAUAGAUCCUUGAUCUUAAGCCUUGCUUGCCACCACCUGACGAAAUCUCUAGUUCCACUCCUGAUCCAAGCAUACAUAUCACUUGUCUGAAGAAAAAAAGGAGAGAAAGAAAAGAAAGGAUUUUAUGUGGAUUGUGAACAGCAUGGAAUCAGGUUGCUUAUCAUCCGUGUUCUUGUAUAAACCAAUAUCGCAAUUGUGCAUGCUACUUAAAAUUUGGUGAAUCUAGUACCUCAGGCUUGCAUGCGGUGCUCAUUGCGGUGGCAUUGAAGUGUUCUAUGCUCUAAUAAUUGCACGUGAAGACUGAGAUGAAUUGCUUCAAUAAAGACGCGUUGCCAUCAUCCGAACAAGAUGUUUGCUGGCACCUUCAGAAGAUUCAUAAACCUUUAAACUAUGUGCGCUAUAUAAAUAAUGUAUGGAUUGGAGCAAUAAACCAAAACAUUAUGUGCUUGCGAUAUUUAUUCUUUCCUUAUUUGGUUGCUUGAACUAGGACUGUAGCGUCUGCAGGCUCACAGGAUUACCAAACGAAAGAAGAUCACGCUUACACGUGGAUUGGUUGUAGCUGAACGACUUUGAAUUUGCCAUUUUGGUUAUGUGUUACUCAAUUGUUUAUAUGAUGCUGAGACCCGCGUAAUCAUUGAAAGUAAGUUAUUGGUCUCUUAUUCAAAUAGUUGGAGGUCUGAUGGUUGAUUUUGAAC